GACGAACGCUGGCGGCGUGCCUAAUACAUGCAAGUGGGACGCAAGGGAACACACUGUGCUUGCACACCGUGUUUUCUUGAGUCGCGAACGGGUGAGUAACGCGUAGGUAACCUGCCUAUUAGCGGGGGAUAACUAUUGGAAACGAUAGCUAAUACCGCAUAAUAUUAAUUAUUGCAUGAUAAUUGAUUGAAAGAUGCAAGCGCAUCACUAGUAGAUGGACCUGCGUUGUAUUAGCUAGCUGGUAAGGUAAGAGCUUACCAAGGCGACGAUACAUAGCCGACCUGAGAGGGUGAUCGGCCACACUGGGACUGAGACACGGCCCAGACUCCUACGGGAGGCAGCAGUAGGGAAUCUUCGGCAAUGGACGAAAGUCUGACCGAGCAACGCCGCGUGAGUGAAGAAGGUUUUCGGAUCGUAAAGCUCUGUUGUAAGUCAAGAACGUGUGUGAGAGUGGAAAGUUCACACAGG
rnacentral:rRNA from 1 species